rfam:Capsicum annuum cultivar Zunla-1 chromosome 9, whole genome shotgun sequence
UAAUGAUAGUGAGGGCAAUUUCGGAGUAUUCCCUUAAAUCUCUCCCAAGCUUGGUAGAGAUUCUUUCCUUUUUUUAUCUAAAACUCAGAAUCUUACUUCUUAAACA